rnacentral:rRNA from 1 species
GACGUAGGGCGCGAGCGUUGUCCGGAUUUAUUGGGCGUAAAGAGCUCGUAGGCGGUUUGUCGCGUCGGGAGUGAAAACACCGGGCUUAACUCGGUGCUUGCUUUCGAUACGGGCAGACUAGAGGCAUGCAGGGGAGAACGGAAUUCCUGGUGUAGCGGUGAAAUGCGCAGAUAUCAGGAGGAACACCGGUGGCGAAGGCGGUUCUCUGGGCAUGUCCUGACGCUGAGGAGCGAAAGUGUGGGGAGCGAACAGG